UUUUCCCGUUUUGGCAAAGGUGAACUUCUUUAAUUUUUCUUUGAAAUUGAUUAAGGUUUUGUGUCUGCUGGCAUUUUUCUACAUGGGGGG